rnacentral:rRNA from 1 species
AAGCGUUAAUCGGAAUUACUGGGCGUAAAGCGCACGCAGGCGGUCUGUCAAGUCGGAUGUGAAAUCCCCGGGCUCAACCUGGGAACUGCAUUCGAAACUGGCAGGCUAGAGUCUUGUAGAGGGGGGUAGAAUUCCAGGUGUAGCGGUGAAAUGCGUAGAGAUCUGGAGGAAUACCGGUGGCGAAGGCGGCCCCCUGGACAAAGACUGACGCUCAGGUGCGAAAGCGUGGGGAGCAAACAGGAUUAGAUACCCUGGUAGUCCACGCCGUAAACGAUGUCGAUUUGGAGGUUGUGCCCUUGAGGCGUGGCUUCCGGAGCUAACGCGUUAAAUCGACCGCCUGGGGAGUACGGCCGCAAGGUUAAAACUCAAAUGAAUUGACGGGGGCCCGCACAAGCGGUGGAGCAUGUGGUUUAAUUCGAUGCAACGCGAAGAACCUUACCUGGUCUUGACAUCCACAGAACUUUCCAGAGAUGGAUUGGUGCCUUCGGGAACUGUGAGACAGGUGCUGCAUGGCUGUCGUCAGCUCGUGUUGUGAAAUGUUGGGUUAAGUCCCGCAACGAGCGCAACCCUUAUCCUUUGUUGCCAGCGGUUAGGCCGGGAACUCAAAGGAGACUGCCAGUGAUAAACUGGAGGAAGGUGGGGAUGACGUCAAGUCAUCAUGGCCCUUACGACCAGGGCUACACACGUGCUACAAUGGCAUAUACAAAGAGAAGCGACCUCGCGAGAGCAAGCGGACCUCAUAAAGUAUGUCGUAGUCCGGAUUGGAGUCUGCAACUCGACUCCAUGAAGUCGGAAUCGCUAGUAAUCGUAGAUCAGAAUGCUACGGUGAAUACGUUCCCGGGCCUUGUACACACCGCCCGUCACACCAUGGGAGUGGGUUGCAAAAGAAGUAGGUAGCUUAACCUUCGGGAGGGCGCUUACCACUUUGUGAUUCAUGACUGGGGUGAAGUCGUAACAAGGUAACCGUAGGGGAACCUGCGGUUGGAUCACCUCCUUACCUUAAAGAA